ensembl:lncRNA
AUGUCAUCCCCGUGUCUGUCUGUCUGUCCCGCUGUCCGUCUGUCCGUUCCCGUGUCUGUGUUUCCAUCCCCGUGUCCCUCCCGCCGUUCCCGUGUCCGUCUGUCCGUUCCCGUGCCCGUCCGUCUGUCCCACUGUCCAUCUGUCCAUCCCAUGUCCGUGUGUCCAUUCCCGUGUCCGUUCCUGUGUCCGUCUGUCCAUCCCAUGUCCGUGUGUCCAUUCCCGUGUCCGUUCCCGUGUCCGUCUGUCCAUCCCAUGUCCGUGUGUCCAUUCCCGUGUCCGUUCCCGUGUCCGUCUGUCUGUUCCCGUGUCCGUGUGUCCAUCCCCGUGUCCGUUCCCGUGCCCGUCUGUCCAUCCCGCUGUUCCCGUGUUGUCCCUGUGUCCAUCUGUCCAUCCCAUGUCCAUGUGUCCGUUCCCGUGUCCGUGUGUCCGUUCCCAUGUCGUUCCCGUGUCCGUCCCGGUGUCCGUGUGUCCCUCCCGCUGUUCCCGUGUCCAUUCCCAUGUCCGUGUGUCCAUCUCGGUGUCCGUCCGUCCAUCCGUUCCGAUGUCAUUCCCGUGUCCGUGUGUCCGUUCCCAUGUCGUUCCCGUGUCCGUGUGUCCGUUCCCAUGUCGUUCCCGUGUCCGUGUGUCCGUUCCCAUGUCGUUCCCGUGUCCGUGUGUCCGUUCCCGGUGUCCGUCUGUCCCUCCCGCUGUUCCCAUGUCCGUCCCCAUGUCCGUGUGUCUGUCCCUGUGUCCGUCCGUCCGUCCAUUCCCGUGUCCGUUCCCGUGUCCGUGUGUCCAUCCCCGUGUCCAUCCAUCCGUCCCCGUGUCUGUGUGUCCCUCCCGCUGUUCCCGUGUCCAUCCAUCCGUCCGUUCCCGUGUCUGUCCCGGUGUCUGUGUGUCCGUCCCGGUGUCUGUCUGUCCCUCCCGCCGUUCCCGUGUCCCUCUGUCUGUCCGUUCCCGUGUCCGUCCCGGUGUCCGUGUGUCCAUCCCGCUGUUCCCGUGUCCAUCCUGGUGUUCGUGUGUCCGUCCAUUCCCGUGUCUGUUCCCGUGUCCGUGUGUCCAUCCCAUGUCUGUGUGUCCAUGCCCGUGUCCAUCCGUCCGUCCAUUCCCGUGUCCGUGUGUCCGUUCCCGGUGUCCGUCUGUCCGUCCCGCUGUUCCCAUGUCCAUCCCCGUGUCCGUGUGUCUGUCCCUGUGUCCGUCCGUCCGUCCAUUCCCGUGUCCGUUCCCGUGUCCGUGUGUCCAUCCCCGUGUCCAUCCAUCCGUCCCGGUGUCCGUGUGUCCCUCCCGCCGUCCCCGUGUCCAUCCAUCCGUCCCGGUGUCCGUGUGUCCCUCCCGCCGUUCCCGUGUCCGUGUGUCCAUCCCCGUGUCCAUCCAUCCAUCCGUCCCGGUGUCCGUGUGUCCCUCCCGCUGUUCCCGUGUCCAUCCAUCCAUCCCGGUGUCCGUGUGUCCGUCCCGGUGUCCGUGUGUCCCUCCCGCCGUCCCCGUGUCCGUCCGUCCGUCCGCCGGCGCCGCAGGAGGUGCAGCAGCUGCUGCAGCUGCAGCAGUUGGUGCUGCUGCCCGGGCCGCCCCUGCAGCCGCCGGCGCAGUUCCUGCUGCAGG